UAAUGGCCUCCAAGUGUCUCCGCUCCAAAUACUAUAAAAUCGGGUCCUAGGAUUGAUCGAAGAACCCAAUCGAACCCAAUCUUUGUCUGAUAAACUUAAGAGCUAAUAGAAACCCCAACUUAGAAAGUAUUCCAUGAUGAGAAGCCCCAGAGAGAGACUUAGUGAAAAGAUCAGCGAGUUGGUGUUCCGAAGGAACAAAUCACAAAGUUAUCAGGCCGGAGAGGUAUAACUGUCGAACAAAGUGACAGUCAAGCUCUAUGUGUUUCGUUCUUUCAUGGAAGACGGGGUUACGAGUAAUAUGAAUGGAAGCUUGACUAUCGGAGUGAAUGGGAACCGGCAACGAUGGUGGUACUUGGAGAUCCUCGAGUAAUCUGAUGAGCCAAGUAAGCUCUGAAGUAACUUCCUCAUCGAUAUAUACUCGACUUCUGCAGAAGAAAGGGAAAUCGAAGCUUGCUUCUACGAUUUCCAUGAUAUAGGAGCACCCCCAAGAGUUAUGUAAAACCCAAUCACAGUAAGAGAUUGGCGAAAAUCCGAACAAGAUGCCCAGUCAGCAUCGCAAAAGGCCAAGAGGGAAAAAGAUGGGUUAGAAGAAAGGAGAAUACCCUGUCCUGGGUCCAAUUGAAGGUACUUCAAGACUCGUAAAGCAGCAGAGAAAUGAGAAGAGCUGAGAUUCUGCAUAAAUUGACUGAGUUUCAACACUGGAAAAGCCAAAUCCGGAUGAGUAUGGGUCAGACACAGAAUGAAUUCUGAUGGAUUUUCUCUAGCUCCAAUCACGCUACUACAACUUUUGUGUACGCAAAAUGUGAAGGUAACUUUAUAGGUUUUCAGGCUGGUAGGUUUCUGAAUUCAAGCGAGACAUCCACAGACAACUUGUGGAAUGAGCAAGCAUUCGUCAAAAAGUUCAUUGGAAAUAGUACUCUAUUGAUGAAAAGGGAACUUGCUUCAGAUUCAACAUUAAUCCUUAUAGCAUGCGAUCAGCCUUAAGAUCAAGAACAUCAAGCAAUAGUGUAAACUAUAUGUGCAAGAGAAGAAGACUUGGAGUCCCAUUUAGAAGGUUAUAUAUCUCGUGACUCCUAUUAUCAUUGAGUAGCAAGUAGUAAUAGUAUCACUAGCCAUUAGAAACCAGAAAGUUCCAAUAUCAUUCUUUUCAUAAGGAGGACGAAAGAGGCCGAGUUCUUGUAGAUUCAAGAUGAACAUAAUAGGCUUAAAAGGUAAAUGUAGUGAAUCACCACGAGCAGUUUAUGUGAGUUUGAGAAAACUGCUCGUUUCGAUUCACAACAUGUACCUUAAAGCCUAUUAUGUUCAUCAUGAAUCUAGGAAGAACUCGGCUUCUUUCCUCCUCCUUAAUGAAAAGAAUGACAUUGGAACUUUCUAGUUUCUGAUGGCUAGUGAUACUAUUACUACUUGUUACUGAAUGACAAUAGGAGCCACUAUAUAUAUAGCCUCCUAAAUGGGACUCCAAAUCUUCUUCUCUUGCAUAUAUAGUUAACACUAAUUGAUUGAUGCUCUUGAGCUUGAGGCUGAUCACAUGAUACGAGGAAAAUAUUGAAUCUGAAGCAAGUGCCCUUUUCACCAACUUCUUGUCGCCGAAGGCUGAUCACAUUCACCUGAAGUACUACCUCUUAUUCUUACUGUCAUAUCCUCGCGUUGUUACAGUCUUAGAUGAUCUUUUAUGUUCUAUUGAGAAUAUAUAUUGUGGAGAUGGUGCAAAGGUGGUUAGGGGCUCAUGAAAUUCUUCUAUAAUAUCUAGAACAUAAAUUUUAGUUAAAGAAGCAUUCUAAAGCCACUGGUUAAUUGCUUAGUUUUCAGAAGAUCUUGGUGUUUCAACAUUCUAUUUCUUCCACACAGGGUAUAUUGUGCCAAAAAACAGUACUAACAUGCAACACUGAGAAAACAAUUGUUCUAGAUAGUCAUUUUAAUUCUGUUGAAGUAAAUGUUCAUAUCUCA